rnacentral:tRNA from 2 species
GGCUAGGUGGCGGAGUGGUUAACGCGGUAGACUCGAAUCCAUAGUGAUCUACUUCCUUCGGGAGCGUCUGUUCGAAUCAGGCCCUAGUCG